CGUGUCCCUUUUCGCAAACGAUCGGUGACCAAGCUGGCAGUCGGACACGUACCACUUUCGAUCCGGGACGGCACUGAAGAAGAAAAGUAGGAAUAAGCAGAAGCCAGCAGCAGCAGAAGAAGAAACCAGAAGAAAAGUUUUCCCAUUUUUGCCUACUUCGAUCGGAAAAUUCGACCCAGAAUCGAGCGAAAACCCUACUCAAUAGGAUUACCCGAAACAGCGAGGAGGAGCACGAGAGGAGUAGGGAGGAGAGGCAGCUAGCGAAAAUUUUCUGAACCAGAAAGGAUUUCGGAUUUUUACACUUCGGUCCUUGUUACUCACACAGCAGAACACAUAAAAUACUAUACACUACUUUUUUGGUUUCGUGUAACUUCCUAUUACUAACUAAAGAUGAGCGCUGAACCACCAGCAGCAGAGUCAGCUCCAGACGGACUUGCACCGGGCGCAGCGGGAGGAGAACCUGGAGCGGAUGGAAUUGUCGGUGGACCACGAACGCCUCAGCAGAUCGCAGCACAGAAGCGACUGCAGCAGACGCAGGCACAGGUAGAUGAGGUUGUGGACAUCAUGAAAACGAAUGUGGAGAAAGUGCUGGAGCGAGAUCAGAAACUAUCGGAACUAGACGACCGAGCCGACGCCCUGCAGCAGGGAGCCUCACAAUUCGAACAGCAGGCGGGCAAACUGAAGAGGAAAUUCUGGCUGCAGAACCUAAAAAUGAUGAUAAUAAUGGGUGUCAUUGGCCUUGUUAUACUUGCAAUCAUUGUAGCCAGAAACUAAACAAAAAUGCAAAUCACGGCCAACCUCAAAACAAAAAAAAGAACAAAAAAGCAAAAAAAGAAAGGAGAGCGCCCUCAUAAAAUAACAGAAAAUUUGAUGCAAGCCAUUAGCAAAUAUUGUUCCAUUUGAGAAAAGAGAGUAUCAUUGUCAGUAAUUUGGAGGAAGAAGCAAACGAACCAAUCCAAAAGUAAAACAAUUACCCAUCAGCCAAGCAGAUAAUUUACGUCUAAACCAAAAAAAAAGUUAUUGUCUACUACUACUUCAGCCUACCAAUACUGCAGCACUCAUGCAAAAGAAGAAACACGAAAUUUAUGCCAGCUGAACAACCACAACAGCCGAUGAUGAUGCCCCCGAUGCAGCAGAUGCCAAUGCAGGUACAGCAGCAAGUCCCAGCUGCUCCGGCGGCACUCGUACAGGAUCUCUCGUCACUAGUUUCUAAUCAGCAUCAGUUUAAAAAUUAAAAUCGGUAAAUCAUAAGACACACACGUACUUAUUCGGAGGUAAAAAACAAGUAAAACAGACAAAAAUACACAAAACACAGCAGCAACACUCACAUUAAAUGAUACAAUUUGAAGAAUUAUUAAGAAUAUAGUGACGACAAACACAACUCUUUACAUAUGAUCUAUUGUGCAUAUUUAUCGGGCAACAGAAACCAAAAAGUAAGAUUCGGAAAAAAUGUUUGUUUUCUAAUCAUUUAUUAAACCUAACUAAAUAAAUUUAUGUAUGUUGUUACUGAACUUGUUUGGGCUUUGUCUAGUGACAAAGUGACGCUUUCUUCGUUAUUGAUCGUUACGCCCAAAGUUUUUUCCUCGAGCUUUUCCCUAACAUGAAAAAGCGUAAAUUGUUCUGUCAAAUAUACUCUGCAGGAAAUGGAUCCCAAAGUAACACACAUAAACCAGUUUAAAAAGAAACUAUUAGAGAACAAAACAAACAGCACACAAAAGUAACAGCAUAAUAAUUCCAAACUCCGCAUUUUUACAUGUCCCCAAAAGUCGCAAGAACACCAAAAUGAGAAUACAAUUGAAGAACUACCGAAAACAAGCAUAUUAUAAUUAUACAUCACAUGGCGAAAUAGUACGUCACUACACUGAAACAAAAGUGCAUGAUAAAACUACUCAAACUUCAAGGAUUUUGUUAACAAACAAUGCAAAACGUCAACAAAGAGUAAAACAACUGUAUUGUUGAGUUCCAACGAGAAACAGCAAAAACAGAAUCUAGACUACACGCAUUGUUUGGUUUGCUGAACAAGAACAUAAGGUUAGAUCAAAAAAUUGUUAUAAAUUUGAACUUUAGGGAAACACAAACUAACUAUAGGACACACUUACAAAAUAGUGGAAACAAAGAUACUACUAAAUCUGAUAUAAUCAUUAGCAAAGAAGAACAAGAUACGAUUUUUGUCAGUGUUUCUUUCACCCUUCGGUUCAAAUCUCUUCCAUCCGUACACGCGCCGAAUGGUUAUUCUAUUUAUUGCACACUGAGAUUAAAAGGCUUUUGCUUACAAACCAUGUGCCACAGGAACGGUGCCCGGAUUCCAUACCUAUGGUUUCCAGCUUGCAUUAUCCUGCGCAUGGAAACAUGAACGUAAAACUUUCAAAUGGAAGUCAUUUUCUUUCCCGUCGAUUAGCGCGACCUUUAGUACAAUUUCUUGCAAAACGUAGAAUUUUAUCGAUAGUGACAUGAUAAUCAACAGAUUUUUCUUCGACAUCAUAUCUCUGUGUCCACUUACCAAACCAAAAUAAAAAAAAAGUUUUAAGAGAAGCUAGUCGUUUCUUCUA